GACGAACGCUGGCGGCGUGCCUAAUACAUGCAAGUAGAACGCACAGUUUAUACCGUAGCUUGCUACACCAUAGACUGUGAGUUGCGAACGGGUGAGUAACGCGUAGGUAACCUGCCUGGUAGCGGGGGAUAACUAUUGGAAACGAUAGCUAAUACCGCAUAAUAUUGAUUAUUGCAUGAUAAUUGAUUGAAAGAUGCUAUUGCAUCACUACCAGAUGGACCCGCGUUGUAUUAGCUAGUAGGUGAGGUAACGGCUCAACUAGGCGACGAUACAUAGCCGACCUGAGAGGGUGAUCGGCCACACUGGGACUGAGACACGGCCCAGACUCCUACGGGAGGCAGCAGUAGGGAAUCUUCGGCAAUGGACGAAAGUCUGACCGAGCAACGCCGCGUGAGUGAAGAAGGUUUUCGGAUCGUAAAGCUCUGUUGUAAGAGAAGAACGGGUGUGAGAGUGGAAAGUUCACACUGUGACGGUAUCUUACCAGAAAGGGACGGCUAACUACGUG
rnacentral:rRNA from 1 species